GAUGAACGCUGGCGGCGUGCUUAACACAUUCAAGUCGUACGAACUGAUUCUGAAGCUUGCUUCGGAAGAAAGUUAGUGGCGGACGGGUGAGUAACGCGUGAGCAACCUGCCUUUGUGAGGGGGAUAACACAGGGAAACUUGUGCUAAUACCGCAUGAUGCAUAUGAAAGACAUCUUUAGUAUGUUAAAGGAGCAAUCCGCACAAAGAUGGGCUCGCGUCUGAUUAGAUAGUUGGUGGGGUAACGGCCUACCAAGUCGACGAUCAGUAGCCGGACUGAGAGGUUGAACGGCCACAUUGGAACUGAGAAACGGUCCAGACUCCUACGGGAGCAGCAGUGGGGAAUAUUGGGCAAUGGGCGAAAGCCUGACCCAGCGACGCCGCGUGAGGGAAGAAGGUCUUCGGAUUGUAAACCUUUGUAGACAGGGAAGAAGAAAGUGACGGUACCUGUAAAGUAAGCCACGGCUAACUACGUG
rnacentral:rRNA from 1 species